GAACCUGGUUCAUAUGUUGGUGAAGUUGUCAAAGUAAUGGGGAAAAAUAAGGUGUUAGUUAAGGUUCACCCAGAAGGAAAAUAUGUUGUUGAUAUUGAUAAAAAUAUUGAUAUCACUAAGAUCACCCCAUCAACAAGGGUUGCCCUCCGUAAUGACAGCUAUGUCCUUCACUUGAUCUUGCCAAGCAAAGUGGAUCCAUUGGUCAACCUUAUGAAAGUUGAAAAGGUUCCAGAUUCUACAUAUGAUAUGAUCGGUGGUCUUGACCAACAAAUUAAGGAGAUAAAGGAGGUCAUUGAACUUCCAAUUAAACAUCCUGAAUUGUUUGA
rnacentral:misc_RNA from 1 species